rnacentral:rRNA from 1 species
AGUGAACGCUGGCGGUAUGCCUAACACAUGCAAGUCGAACGGCAGCACAGUAAUCGCUCUCUCUUACGGGUGGCGAGUGGCGGACGGGUCAGGAAUACAUCGGCAUCUACUUUUUCGUGGGGGACAACGUAGGGAAACUUACGCUAAUACCGCAUACGAUCUACGGGUGAAAGCAUGGGAUCUUCGGACCUUGCGCGAUUCAAUGAGCCGAUGUCGGAUUAGCUAGUUGGCGGGGUAAAGGCCCACCAAGGCGACGAUCCGUAGCUGGUCUGAGAGGAUGAUCAGCCACACUGGAACUGAGACACGGUCCAGACUCCUACGGGAGGCAGCAGUGGGGAAUAUUGGACAAUGGGCGAAAGCCUGAUCCAGCCAUACCGCGUGGGUGAAGAAGGCCUUCGGGUUGUAAAGCCCUUUUGUUGGGAAAGAAAAGCAGCAGGUUAAUACCCCGCUGUUCUGACGGUACCCAAAGAAUAAGCACCGGCUAACUUCGUG